AUGACAUCUUGGAGAGGCCACAGCUGUCGUGAACACUCAUGCUCUGUGAGCAAACUGGAUAACAUCUCGGUGUAGCUGGAUAACAUCGAGGAGAGGCUCAUGGCUCUCCAACGGGAAUGAAUGACGACCUAAGUGGAUUACCUACGGAUAGUUUCCUGCCCUCAUUGUCUUCAGCUAAUGUCUUACUCACACCACAUAUGCAGGCCAUACAUGAGGAAGCACCCCAGAUUGCACAGGAUCAUGGACUGAAUUUCAUCACACAAGGUUUGCCUUUUGAUUCAAGCAGCCAACUUUCCCCAUCAAAUUCAGGAGAUCCACAGAGCCCCCGACGUGUAUCAAUUUGCAGGAUAAAGGUUGUUGAUGAUCUUUUGGCUGUAUUUAUGGACAGUAGCAUCAUCAGUGUGAGUUUAAAGAUGAACUUUGUAAAUGAAAAUGCUGUUGAUGAUGCUGGGGUGUCAAAGGAGGUUUACACUGUAUUUUGGGAGCAAUUUUUGGAACAGUGUGAAGGUGAAACUGAACAAGCUCCAAGGCUGAGGCCAGACUUUUGUGAGGCUGAAUGACAAGCAGUUGGACUGAUAUGGGUGAAAGACUCACUAGACCAUGGUGUCUUUCAGUGAGGCUGUCAGAGGCUUUCAUUUUACCUGCAUCCAUGGAGUGGACUCAGUUGAUGUCGACAUCCUGAUUACAUCGUUUCUCAACUAUCUCCCUGUUGUUGAGAGAUCAGCUGUUGAGAAGGCUCUCCAGGGCACAUUGGAUGAAAAUGAUGAAGAUGACCUGUUUGACAUUUUUACAAGGAUGGUUCCCACUUCCUACCACCUAAGAACAACAUGCAGCCUGCCAUUGAAACAAUGGCUCAUAAGGCCAUCCUCCAAGAACCAAAGUGGA